UACGUAGGGUGCGAGCGUUAUCCGGAUUCACUGGGUUAAAGGGUGCGUAGGUGGGGUGGUAAGUCAGUGGUGAAAUCUCCGAGCUUAACUUGGAAACUGCCAUUGAUACUGAUAGUCUUGAGUAUGAUUGAAGUGGGCGGAAUGUGUCAUGUAGCGGUGAAAUGCUUAGAUAUGACACAGAACACCGAUUGACGAAGGCAGCUCACUAAGCCAUAACUGACGCUGAUGCACGAAAGCGCGGGGAGCGAACAGG
rnacentral:rRNA from 1 species